rnacentral:rRNA from 1 species
UACAGAGGUCUCAAGCGUUGUUCGGAUUCAUUGGGCGUAAAGGGUGCGUAGGCGGCGCGGUAAGUCGGGUGUGAAAUCUCGGGGCUUAACUCCGAAACUGCAUUCGAUACUGCCGUGCUUGAGGACUGGAGAGGAGACUGGAAUUCUCGGUGUAGCGGUGAAAUGCGUAGAUAUCGAGAGGAACACCUGCGGCGAAGGCGGGUUGCUGGGCCGACACUGACGCUGAUGCGCGAAAGCCAGGGGAGCGAACGGG